rnacentral:tRNA from 1 species
GCCCUUUUAGCUCAGUGGUAGAGCGUUGCACUUGUAACUUACGCGUACACAUGCAAAGGUCGUUAGUUCAAUCCUGGCAGGGGGCA